GCCUGGGAGAAGAGAGAGGUGGGACACAGCUUCUCACAUCCUUUGGACUCUGGGUUGCCAAAACAGCUCUGGACGCAAGCUUGAACUGCUCUGAUUUCCAGUUGCUUUCUGUGGGGAUGCUUCGCCCCGUCCUCCACAGCGGAAAUGCUGCAGAGGGAGAGGACACCUCCUGGAAGGCCACAGUGGGGAUGAAGGCACAGUAAAACCCUGCGAGGAGCCAGGACACCCCCGGAAGCACCAGGUUCAGACCUCCAGCAGCUCCCUGCCUGCAGACGCUUGGAGAUGCUCAUGGGCUCAAUGGGAUUUUUGUAUGCAAGCUUCAUUACUGAACUGAAAAAUAAGAUGUGAAGAGCCUACAGGAUGAAGAGAGACCUCUGGAGGGAAACUAAAAGAAAACCCAAGAUGUUCAAGCAAACCAGACCCCACAGCAGCCAGUGCUAACCCAGCACAGUUUUAACCCUGCCAGUACUCCAGCAGAGACCCUCAUCCAUGGAUUGGUGCCAUACAAAUCCAGAACCAAGGAGCCCACACUGAGAGCACCAGGCAGGAGGCAGUGGAGAGCAUUGGUCUUGGCUCAUCAACAACUCAGCUCCUGCCAGAUACAUUGGGCAUCAUUACAGGGGAAAGCUUUAUUACUCUGAUAUUUGAAGGAAAAUAGCAAAAUAAAGCACUCUGGUUGUUAAAACACCCCCAGUUCUUAGAAUGCAAUCCCAACUGCCAACUCCCCUUUUUCAGAUAGAUGCAGCCCUGAAUGAGGCCCCAGUAUCUGCUUUUGGGUUAUUAAGUCAUAUGAAUCAUUAGACCAGCCAGUACAAGAACCUGCCUCACAUGGCAUGUGGCUGUGAAGCUUUGUGUUGCAUUUCAGGAACGUGAAGGGGCAAGCAAGACCCUCUGGAAUAACACCUACAACAGAACCCAGCUCCUGCACUGAGCCCAGUAACUUCCAACUGGCCUGGACAUCUAAGGAAACAUGCAUUCUGCUUUUUAAGACUAAAGAUGAAAACUCCACCAUUUCCCUCUGCAGCUUGUUCCUUGUUAGUUGUUUUUUUGUUUU